CCCUUAGAGUUUGAUCCUGGCUCAGGACGAACGCUGGCGGCGUGCUUAACACAUGCAAGUCGAACGAGAGCGUAGAGAAAGCUUGCUUUUUCUACAAUCUAGUGGCAAACGGGUGAGUAACGCGUAAACAACCUGCCCUACGGAUGGGGACAACAGCUGGAAACGGCUGCUAAUACCGAAUACGUUCCGAAAGUCGCAUGACUAUCGGAAGAAAGGAUGGCCUCUAUUUAUAAGCUAUCGCCGGAGGAGGGGUUUGCGUCUGAUUAGCUAGUUGGAGGGGUAACGGCCCACCAAGGCGACGAUCAGUAGCCGGUCUGAGAGGAUGAACGGCCACAUUGGAACUGAGACACGGUCCAGACUCCUACGGGAGGCAGCAGUGGGGAAUCUUCCGCAAUGGGCGAAAGCCUGACGGAGCAACGCCGCGUGAGUGAAGACGGCCUUCGGGUUGUAAAGCUCUGUUAUACGGGACGAAUAAUCUUGUGGUUAAUACCCAUGA
rnacentral:rRNA from 1 species